GACGAACGCUGGCGGCGUGCUUAACACAUGCAAGCCGAACGGAAAGACCCUGCUCUUGUGGGGUGCUCGAGUGGCGAACGGGUGAGUAACACGUGAGUAACCUGCCCUUGACUUUGGGAUAACUUCAGGCAACUGGGGCUAUUACCGGAUAGGAGCUCCUGCUGCAUGGUGGGGGUUGGAAAGUUUCGGCGGUUGGGGAUGGACUCGCGGCUUAUCAGCUUGUUGGGUGGGUAGUGGCUUACCGAGGCUUUGACGGGUAGCCGGCCUGAGAGGGUGACCGGCCACAUUGGGACUGAGAUACGGCCCAGACUCCUACGGGAGGCAGCAGUGGGGAAUAUUGCACAAUGGGCGGAAGCCUGAUGCAGCAACGCCGCGUGCGGGAUAACGGCCUUCGGGUUGUAAACCGCUUUCGCCUGUGACGAAGCGUGAGUGACGGUAAUGGGUAAAGAAGCACCGGCUAACUACGGG
rnacentral:rRNA from 1 species